AGUGAACGCUGGCGGUAGGCCUAACACAUGCAAGUCGAACGGCAGCACAGUAAGAGCUUGCUCUUACGGGUGGCGAGUGGCGGACGGGUGAGGAAUACAUCGGAAUCUACUUUUUCGUGGGGGAUAACGUAGGGAAACUUACGCUAAUACCGCAUACGACCUACGGGUGAAAGCAGGGGAUCUUCGGACCUUGCGCGAUUGAAUGAGCCGAUGUCGGAUUAGCUAGUUGGCGGGGUAAAGGCCCACCAAGGCGACGAUCCGUAGCUGGUCUGAGAGGAUGAUCGGCCAAAAGGGAACUGGGACACGGGCCAGCCUCCUAGGGGAGGCAGCAGGGGGGAAUAUUGGACAAUGGGGGCAAGCCUGACCCAGCCAUACCGGGGGGGUGAAGAAGGCCUUCGGGUUGUAAAGCCCUUUUGUUGGGAAAAAAAAGCAGCAGGUUAAUACCCCGCUGUUCUGACGGUACCAAAAGAAUAAGCACCGGCUAACUUCGG
rnacentral:rRNA from 1 species